ACAGUGUCUACUGAAAAAAAAAGACUACUGUAUAGCGUUUCGUGACGCUAUGGUAUUUAUUUAGAGUAAGAGUUUCUUUGUGAUAAUAGUGGGAAUUCUUAAAGAAACUGGACUCAUAGGAAGCAGAAGAGGACGAGUUGAGUGAAAAUGAAUUUAGCGGAAAUAAAAAAGUUGAAAGUGGCCGAAUUACGGGCCAAACUUCAGGAACGAGGCCUGGAAACUAAAGGGCUGAAGGCCGACCUUGUGGAACGGUUAAUGUCCGCGAUCGAGGCUGAGUCGCACGGCGUGGUUACAAGGGAGACCGGGGAUGAGAAGGGGCCUGCGGAAGAAGAAGAAGAAGAAGACGGAGCGGAGCAAACGCAAGAUGACUCCAUGUCGGAGUCUGUGCCGGAGGUGCAAAGCGCGGCGCAUAUGGAUCGACAGGCGCUGACAGGGACCGAGGAGGAAGCCGCUCCUGCGGCGAAAGCUGAAGUCAAGCAGGGGUCGUCACAGUUAUCCGUGGCACCGCUGGCCAGCGUCGAGGAGCCGACCUCUACUGGAGCACCAAAGGUCGGUCAGUUACAAGCCGAACUUCCCGUAGUGUCCAUAGUAAGACUGGAGAAGAAAGUUCUCGAACAAACACUUGACAAAACCGGUUCCUGGCCGGCUCAGAGUCAGACGGCGGCGCGGGCGGCAGAGCUAACGGUUGCCGAGGAGAGUGCAAAGAAAGCCGAACUGGACUCGACGCCUGUGGACGCAGUGGUGGAAGAGCCGGAGCCCGUGAGUGAAGAACAGUUUAACAGGUCGUUUGACAGCGCGUCUCCCGCGCGUUGCGAGGAGGCCGCGACGCCGGGGACUCGAGUGAGCGCUCCUCCCCCGGACAGCGCGCCCCCGCCGGCCACCGCUGAAAACACGAGCUCGCCUGCAACUACUACAUCCCAGCCCGUAGAGGAUGCGAAGAAGCGCGGUUUGAAUGGAGGAACGGAAGGGAAAUGUGAAGCUGAAGCAGCGGGGGAUGAGGCGGAGGCUGACUGGUCCGUGGUGGCCGAGAAGGGCAGCGGGGAGGAAAGCGGGUCUGAGCCGGACACCGGGGAGAAGCGGGGCCAAGACACAGUUGCGGGGGCCGCAGGUGAUGGGGAGAGCAGAGGCGUGAAGAGGCCCUAUUCCGAGAGGGGCAGAGGCUACUACGAGUUUAAGGAAGAGAUCAACUACAACAGGGCCAAGUCCCCAGAGCCAGAGCCCGAACCAGAGCUGGCAAAUGAGGAGGAGGUGGAUGGCGACACUAUCCGACUGGACUCCUAUAACGGCGACUUGCACUUUGAGGUGGGUCCAGAUGGAACCAGUGGCCAGCCUUUGCUCUCAGAGAAGUUUCCUCUCCUGUGGUCUGGCUGCCGUGUAACUCAUGGAGUUAAUCAGGGGAAAGUUGGAUUUGAAGCCAAGUUUGUAAAGAAGCUGCCUGUGACAGAGCUCAGCGCUGAGGACACAGACACCUAUGUCCUUAGAGUGGGCUGGUCUGUUGAUAACUCCAGCUUCCAAUUAGGUGAGGUGGAGCUGUCAUACUGCUUUGAUGGACAGGGAAGGAAAGUGUCAGAGGGGAAAGAGGAGGACUUUGGGGAAUCCUUCACAGAAAAUGAUGUAAUCGGCUGUUAUGCUGCUUUUUCUGACUGUGAUGUGGAGCUCUCCUUCCACAAGAAUGGCUGCCCGUUGGGUGUGGCGUUCCGCGUGGACCUUGCCAACCUGGCUGGCCGUGCACUGUACCCCCAUGUACUCUGCAGGAACUGCUCUGUCUCUCUCAACUUGGAGUCCACCGGUGCACCGUGGUACCCCAGUCCCCCUGGGUACACCCUCCUGGCAGCCCUCCCACCUGAACUGCGGCACCGGGCUCCACUUCCCCCAAAGUCAAAGCAGGAGUGUGAGGUUUUGAUGAUGGUGGGUAUGCCUGGUGCCGGAAAGACGCAUUGGGCCAAGACCCAUAUGGCUCAGAAUCCAGAGAAACACUACAACCUCCUGGGAACACACACUAUACUCAGUACCAUGCGCGGCACUCCAGGCACAGGGCAGAAGGAGCAGGAGCUACAACAAGCGACCCAGUGUCUCAGCCAGCUUAUCAGGAUAGCAGCACGCAGACGACGCAAUUACAUUUUGGAUCAGGCCAACAUAUACUCAUCAGCUCAGCGACACAAGAUGCUGCUAUUUGCAGGCUUCCAGCGCAGGGCAGUAGUGGUGUGCCCUGGGGAUAAGGAAUGGCAGAGACGUCUGGAGCUGCACCAACAGGAGGAGGGCGAGGAGGUGCCCCAAAUGUCUAUCCUUAAAGUAAAGGUGAGUUUUUCACUGCCAGAGGUGGGAGACCACCUGGACGAGGUGCUUUUCCCAGAGAUGUCACGCAGUGAGACCGAGAAAUUAUUGGCUGAGUAUAAGGAAGAGGCACGCCGCCUGCUGCCCACCCCACCCAAGCGGAGGAAGCGUACCCGGCGUAAUAAGCCACUUCCCAGCCCUCCAGCACAUCCAGGACGCAACCACCGAGACUGGGGUCCAGGAUGGAACCGAGGAGGGUACCCUCCACAACCCUAUGGACACCCCCCAUACUGGGGGCCACAGCACAGAGAGGUGAGAACAUGUCAGGGGAGGAUGACCAGCCUGUUUAUGGAUUUUACAGACACACUUAACUGACAAUAGUAUGCCAAUAUUGCAUAGAAGCAACCUCUUAAUUUCUGCAGUCAGAAACUAAUUUACAUGUUUACAUUCUUUGUAUAUUCUGGGUUUGAUGCAUAGUCAGUGUAAUGAACAUUUUUACACUUAAUGUUCAUCUAACUGAAUAUUCAGUAUUCCUGAAAUGCUUAAAUACAUUUUACACCCUCAAGUCCUACCCCAUCAGAAAAGGCAGUCAUUUUCUGCAGAUGGAAGCUGUGUGGUGUAAAUUUUGGGACUGAUCUGUAGUAAAUUUCAUGAGCACUUUUUUGUAGCAAUGAGAGAUAUUUUGCUUUCAGCAGACUUAGUCAGUAUUGGAUUUAUCCAAUAUUAGACUAUGCUUUCUACAGUCUCAUAAUUCUAGUCUCACCAUUCUCAAGUUACAACAUGGAAGUCACCUGCAUUGAAAGACCUGUGAUCCUUCCUUCAAGAAGUUGAAAUAUAUUGUCAAGUUUUUUUUUCUGACUGCUGGAACCUAUCCUAUGAACCUGAUGUUCGACCUUUCCACAAUAGGUAUCGUACAGAUUUUGACCGCUUUUAUGGGCGUGACUAUGACCCACAGA